CGCUGCAGCAGCGCUCCUCCCGACGUCUCGCGGUGCGGCUCCCGGUUGGAGCCGUCGGCCACGCUGCUCCUCGCUGCCGAGGGGAAGUUCCGGUCACGAGAGCGCGUGUAAUGAUAAACAUUUGAGCUGUGGGGUCACAGGAGCUCAGGAGCCAAAUGUUUGGAGCAAACAUGUAAGUUUCUUCCCUUGUUUUGUUGUCCUGCCCCUGCCAGCGCCUGGCCUCACCUGUGUUCGUACGCUGAGGCCUUUACUCCUCUGUGUGCUUUGCAUUGCUCUGAAGCAGGCUCCCCUUUGGCUCACUGCCACUCUGGGCCAUCUCUGGGCCACGUUCAGUCACGUCUGUCUGUAGACAGUUGGGCGAUCUCACACGCUGUAGACCUCUGCACGUGCUCUCACUGUGAGAAGAGCUGGAAGAACCAGUAAAAAGGGGAAAGAACCCUGGCUGAUACUGCAGGGAGCAGGAGGACACAGACAGCAAGUGAAUGCACUUCACAGAGUGCAAAUUAAUGCAGAGAGAACAGAGCCCAGGACAGGUGAGGAGGCAGAGGCAGUCACUGCAACCCUCAUCUAGCAUCUUAUCUUAACCACGAGUACUGAAUUAAUAAACAAGGGCUUGGAAAACUCAGCCCCAGUCAGGCCUGUCUCUGAUCUGCCUCUUCAGGACACAGUCACUUCACUUACCUGCAUCUUUAACGCCACGGUCUGGGUGAGCAAUUCUUGUACAGCUCAACAGAGCCAUUCUGCUGAGCAUCCAGCUCUGCACAGAAUUCGUCGUCUGAGCAUACUAGUCAGGAGCAGAAGCUGCAGAGCAGAUCUUUUUCAUUUUCUAAAGGACAGCGUGCUAUGAAAAAAAACCCAACAGUUUAAUAGUUCAGCGGGAGUUUCUUAAACACAGAGUUAGUCAUGUAGUCAUCACUAUAAUACCAUCAUUUGACUGUACCUUGAGAUGCAGCUGUCGAACUUCAUCGUUGCGUUGAGCAGCAAAGUUGUACUUGUUUGAACAAGUUACAUCAUGGGAGACUUUAUUCUACGUUCUCUACCCACACAACCCUGCGAUUUAUUUUCACCUGAGAACUUGUUAAUAAUACCAGCGAAGAAGCUAAUGUUCCAAGAUGUUUAGGAUUCACACACAAAUCUUAAAUUCUACUGGCAGAAACAGAGCAUCACUGCUUUGAUAGGGAAUAGUCAGUAGCACUCUUCACAGCAAGAAGAGUUUUAGUUCUUAGUUCCAUGGCACUGUGCCUGAGCAUGAUAUACUUACUCAGGUUAAUGUGUUUUCUGCCUACUUUAUCAAUCCAGAUGGACUUAAAGGGAGGAAAGCAAAAUAAGCAUUUGAUGAUCACAGAAGUGAACAACUUGCAGUAGAACUCAGUGCUCUGGUAGGAUGCUAAAGAGCAGACUUACAACAUUUCAUGCAAUGGGUGUUUCUUAGAUGUAGCAGUUUGCCCGUGACAGCAUUUGGUCACUUUAACUAAUGGCUCUGAGCCACCCUGGGGUCAGCAAAGUGGGGCAAAGUCCAGGACAUCUCUCCCCUGUACCUCGAAGCAGUGCACUGUGAUAAAAAGAACGGCCACUUUGCUUUUAUCUGCUGUGCUUCCUUAAACCAGCUGCACACAGCUGUGAAGCAGCCUGAGAUGAGGCUGAUCCUCACAGUGAUGUUACCGUUCAGAGGUGUCAGAUUCAGCUCAGUAUAUGUGCCAAAGUUGCCCUCAGUGCUGGCACCCCACCAGCUUCUGAAAAGGGCUUUCAGUUGUUACACCCGUGAAUUUUUGUUGUUUUUUAGUGUUCACAAGAAAGUCUGACAUCGUUACAGAGAACUGCAAUUUUUUAUGAAAUAUCUGGGCUGUUUGAAGUGUGAAUAUUGAAAAGACUUGUUAUCCCAGUCAGAGGUAUUUGGAAAUUUUUAUGCUGGCCAGAGACAACUUAGUAUUUAGGAAUUAUCUACUCUCACUACAGGUCAGUCUUAUUCAGGGGUUUACAGCAGUUUAAACAAUUGCAGUUUUCCUUUUUGUACAGUUUUACCCUUAUUUACCUCUAGAACAAAAUUUGUACACUUUCAUCAAA